CUGGCUCAGAUUGAACGCUGGCGGCAGGCCUAACACAUGCAAGUCGAGCGGUAGCACAGAGAGCUUGCUCUCGGGUGACGAGCGGCGGACGGGUGAGUAAUGUCUGGGAAACUGCCUGAUGGAGGGGGAUAACUACUGGAAACGGUAGCUAAUACCGCAUAACGUCGCAAGACCAAAGUGGGGGACCUUCGGGCCUCAUGCCAUCAGAUGUGCCCAGAUGGGAUUAGCUAGUAGGUGAGGUAACGGCUCACCUAGGCGACGAUCCCUAGCUGGUCUGAGAGGAUGACCAGCCACACUGGAACUGAGACACGGUCCAGACUCCUACGGGAGGCAGCAGUGGGGAAUAUUGCACAAUGGGCGCAAGCCUGAUGCAGCCAUGCCGCGUGUGUGAAGAAGGCCUUCGGGUUGUAAAGCACUUUCAGCGGGGAGGAAGGCGUUAAGGUUAAUAACCUUGGCGAUUGACGUUACCCGCAGAAGAAGCACCGGCUAACUCCGUGCCAGCAGCCGCGGUAAUACGGAGGGUGCAAGCGUUAAUCGGAAUUACUGGGCGUAAAGCGCACGCAGGCGGUCUGUCAAGUCGGAUGUGAAAUCCCCGGGCUCAACCUGGGAACUGCAUUCGAAACUGGCAGGCUAGAGUCUUGUAGAGGGGGGUAGAAUUCCAGGUGUAGCGGUGAAAUGCGUAGAGAUCUGGAGGAAUACCGGUGGCGAAGGCGGCCCCCUGGACAAAGACUGACGCUCAGGUGCGAAAGCGUGGGGAGCAAACAGGAUUAGAUACCCUGGUAGUCCACGCCGUAAACGAUGUCGAUUUGGGAGGUUGUGCCCUUGAGGCGUGGCUUCCGGAGCUAACGCGUUAAAUCGACCGCCCGGGAAGGACGGCCGCAAGGUUAAAACUCAAAUGAAUUGACGGGGGCCCGCACAAGCGGUGGAGCAUGUGGUUUAAUUCGAUGCAACGCGAAGAACCUUACCUGGUCUUGACAUCCACAGAACUUUCCAGAGAUGGAUUGGUGCCUUCGGGAACUGUGAGACAGGUGCUGCAUGGCUGUCGUCAGCUCGUGUUGUGAAAUGUUGGGUUAAGUCCCGCAACGAGCGCAACCCUUAUCCUUUGUUGCCAGCGGUCCGGCCGGGAACUCAAAGGAGACUGCCAGUGAUAAACUGGAGGAAGGUGGGGAUGACGUCAAGUCAUCAUGGCCCUUACGACCAGGGCUACACACGUGCUACAAUGGCAUAUACAAAGAGAAGCGACCUCGCGAGAGCAAGCGGACCUCAUAAAGUAUGUCGUAGUCCGGAUUGGAGUCUGCAACUCGACUCCAUGAAGUCGGAAUCGCUAGUAAUCGUAGAUCAGAAUGCUACGGUGAAUACGUUCCCGGGCCUUGUACACACCGCCCGUCACACCAUGGGAGUGGGUUGCAAAAGAAGUAGGUAGCUUAACCUUCGGGAGGGCGCUUACCACUUUGUGAUUCAUGACUGGGGUGAAGUCGUAAGGGGAAA
rnacentral:rRNA from 1 species